rnacentral:rRNA from 1 species
CAUAGGUUAAUGAGGCGAACCGGGGGAACUGAAACAUCUAAGUACCCCGAGGAAAAGAAAUCAACCGAGAUUCCCCCAGUAGCGGCGAGCGAACGGGGAGCAGCCCAGAGCCUGAAUCAGUGUGUGUGUUAGUGGAAGCGUCUGGAAAGGCGCGCGAUACAGGGUGACAGCCCCGUACACAAAAAUGCACAUACUGUGAGCUCGAUGAGUAGGGCGGGACACGUGGUAUCCUGUCUGAAUAUGGGGGGACCAUCCUCCAAGGCUAAAUACUCCUGACUGACCGAUAGUGAACCAGUACCGUGAGGGAAAGGCGAAAAGAACCCCGGCGAGGGGAGUGAAAAAGAACCUGAAACCGU